rnacentral:rRNA from 1 species
AGAGUUUGAUCCUGGCUCAGGAUGAACGCUGGCGGCGUGCCUAACACAUGCAAGUCGAGCGCGUCUGAUUUGAUGCUUGCAUUAAUGAAAGAUGAGCGGCGGACGGGUGAGUAACGCGUGGGUAACCUGCCCUAUACACAUGGAUAACAUACUGAAAAGUUUACUAAUACAUGAUAAUAUAUAUUUACGGCAUCGUAGAUAUAUCAAAGUGUUAGCGGUAUAGGAUGGACCCGCGUCUGAUUAGCUAGUUGGUGAGAUAACUGCCCACCAAGGCGACGAUCAGUAGCCGACCUGAGAGGGUGAUCGGCCACAUUGGAACUGAGACACGGUCCAAACUCCUACGGGAGGCAGCAGUGGGGAAUAUUGCACAAUGGGCGCAAGCCUGAUGCAGCAACGCCGCGUGAACGAUGAAGGUCUUCGGAUCGUAAAGUUCUGUUGCAGGGGAAGAUAAUGACGGUACCCUGUGAGGAAGCCCCGGCUAACUACGUGCCAGCAGCCGCGGUAAUACGUAGGGGGCUAGCGUUAUCCGGAUUUACUGGGCGUAAAGGGUGCGUAGGUGGUCUUUCAAGUCGGUGGUUAAAGGCUACGGCUCAACCGUAGUUAGCCUCCGAAACUGGAAGACUUGAGUGCAGGAGAGGAAAGUGGAAUUCCUAGUGUAGCGGUGAAAUGCGUAGAUAUUGGGAGGAACACCAGUAGCGAAGGCGGCUUUCUGGACUGCAACUGACACUGAGGCACGAAAGCGUGGGUAGCAAACAGGAUUAGAUACCCUGGUAGUCCACGCUGUAAACGAUGAGUACUAGGUGUCGGGGGUUACCCCCCUCGGUGCCGCAGCUAACGCAUUAAGUACUCCGCCUGGGGAGUACGCACGCAAGUGUGAAACUCAAAGGAAUUGACGGGGACCCGCACAAGUAGCGGAGCAUGUGGUUUAAUU